rnacentral:rRNA from 1 species
UACGUAGGGCGCAAGCGUUGUCCGGAUUUAUUGGGCGUAAAGAGCGUGUAGGCGGCCAGGUAGGUCUGCUGUGAAAACUCGAGGCUCAACCUCGAGACGUCGGCGGAAACCAUCUGGCUAGAGUCCGGAAGAGGAGAGUGGAAUUCCGUGGUGUAGCGGUGAAAUGCGCAGAUAUCAGGAAGAACACCCGUGGCGAAGGCGGCUCUCUGGGACGGUACUGACGCUGAGGUGCGAAAGCGUGGGGAGCAAACAGG